rnacentral:rRNA from 1 species
GCGGAAGGAUCAUUAUCGUACAAAAUGUGUGAGGGCGUGCGAGGGCUGUCGCUGACUUUUUAAAGUCGUGCACGCCGGAGUGUGUCCUCACAUAAAAUCCAUUUCACCCUUUUGUGCACCACCGCGUGGGCACCCUUCGGGGUCAAACCGAUCCAGGAGGGGGCUUGCGUUUCCACACAAACCCCUUUUGAAAAGUGUAGAAUGACCYCAUUUUUGCGAUAACGCGCAAUCAAUACAACUUUCAACAACGGAUCUCUUGGCUCUCGCAUCGAUGAAGAACGCAGCGAAAUGCGAUACGUAAUGUGAAUUGCAGAAUUCAGUGAAUCAUCGAAUCUUUGAACGCACCUUGCGCCCCUUGGUAUUCCGAGGGGCACACCCGUUUGAGUGUCGUGAAAACCUCAACCUUCUCGGUUUCUUCUGGACUCCGAAGGAGGCUUGGACUUUGGAGGCCUUUGCUGGCAUCUCUCUCUUUUGAGAGCCAGCUCCUCUUAAACAAAUUAGCGGGGUCCUCUUUGCCGAUCCUCGACAUGUGAUAAGAUGUUUCCAUGACUUGGUUUCUGGCUCUGUAGCCUUUGGGACCUGCUUCUAACCGUCUCGACGAGACAUUGUUUGGGCGUGUCUCCCUUCUCGGGAGACUCUCUCGACCCCACGAACCCUUGACCUCAAA